CAUAUCAAUAAGCGGAGGAAAAGAAACUAACAAGGAUUCCCCUAGUAACUGCGAGUGAAGCGGGAAAAGCUCAAAUUUAAAAUCUGGCGGUCUUUGGCCGUCCGAGUUGUAGUCUGGAGAAGUGCUUUCCGCGCUGGACCGUGUAUAAGUCUCUUGGAACAGAGCGUCAUAGAGGGUGAGAAUCCCGUCUUUGACACGGACUACCAGUGCUUUGUGAUGCGCUCUCAAAGAGUCGAGUUGUUUGGGAAUGCAGCUCAAAAUGGGUGGUGAAUUCCAUCUAAAGCUAAAUAUUGGCGAGAGACCGAUAGCGAACAAGUACCGUGAGGGAAAGAUGAAAAGCACUUUGGAAAGAGAGUUAAACAGUACGUGAAAUUGCUGAAAGGGAAACGCUUGAAGUCAGUCGCGUUUGCCGGAACUCAGCCUUCCUUUUGGUUGGUGCACUUUCCGGUAGACGGGCCAGCAUCGAUUUCGACCGUCGGAUAAGGGCUGGGGAAAUGUGGCACCUUUCGGGGUGUGUUAUAGUCCUCAGUCGCAUACGUCGGUUGGGAUCGAGGAUCGCAGCGCGCCGCAAGGCAGGGGUUCGCCCACUUUCGCGCUUAGGAUGCUGGCAUAAUGGCUUUAAACGACCCGUCUUGAAACACGGACCAAGGAGUCUAACAAACCUGCGAGUGUUUGGGUGGAAAACCCGAGCGCGUAAUGAAAGUGAAAGUUGAGACCUCUGUCGUGGAGGGCAUCGACGCCCGGACCUGAAGUUCUCUGACGGUUCCGCGGUAGAGCAUGUUUGUUGGGACCCGAAAGAUGGUGAACUAUGCCUGAAUAGGGUGAAGCCAGAGGAAACUCUGGUGGAGGCUCGUAGCGAUUCUGACGUGCAAAUCGAUCGUCAAAUUUGGGUAUAGGGGCGAAAGACUAAUCGA
rnacentral:rRNA from 1 species